UGGGGAAUAUUGCACAAUGGGGGAAACCCUGAUGCAGCGACGCCGCGUGAACGAAGAAGGUAUUCGUAUCGUAAAGUUCUGUCCUAUGGGAAGAUAAUGACAGUACCAUAGAAGAAAGCUCCGGCUAAAUACGUGCCAGCAGCCGCGGUAAUACGUAUGGAGCGAGCGUUGUCCGGAAUUAUUGGGCGUAGAGGGUACGCAGGCGGUUUAAUAAGUCGAAUGUUAAAGAUCGGGGCUCAACCCCGCAAAGCAUUGGAAACUGAUAAACUUGAGUAGUGGAGAGGAAAGUGGAAUUCCUAGUGUAGUGGUGAAAUACGUAGAUAUUAGGAGGAAUACCAGUAGCGAAGGCGACUUUCUGGACACAAACUGACGCUGAGGUACGAAAGCGUGGGGAGCAAACAGG
rnacentral:rRNA from 1 species